rnacentral:rRNA from 1 species
CACGUAGGGCGCGAGCGUUGUCCGGAAUUAUUGGGCGUAAAGAGCUUGUAGGCGGUUUGUCGCGUCUGCUGUGAAAAUCCGGGGCUCAACCCCGGACUUGCAGUGGGUACGGGCAGACUAGAGUGUGGUAGGGGAGACUGGAAUUCCUGGUGUAGCGGUGAAAUGCGCAGAUAUCAGGAGGAACACCAAUGGCGAAGGCAGGUCUCUGGGCCACUACUGACGCUGAGAAGCGAAAGCAUGGGGAGCGAACAGG